rnacentral:rRNA from 1 species
UACGUAGGGGGCUAGCGUUGUCCGGAUUUAUUGGGCGUAAAGAGCGUGUAGGCGGCCAGAUAGGUCUGCUGUGAAAACUCGAGGCUCAACCUCGAGCUGUCGGCGGAAACCAUUUGGCUAGAGUCCGGAAGAGGAGAGUGGAAUUCCCGGUGUAGCGGUGAAAUGCGCAGAUAUCGGGAGGAACACCAAUGGCGAAGGCAGCUCGCUGGGACGGUACUGACGCUGAGACGCGAAAGCGUGGGGAGCAAACAGG